ensembl:snoRNA SNORA66 Small nucleolar RNA SNORA66
UUGCAAACUCGAUCACUGGCUCUGCGGGUUGUGGCAGACGCAAGGGGAACAGGUUUGCUAAAGUAAAUGUGGUAACAGAACUAUACCAGCCUUAGAAAGAAUAAUGUUAAGGCUGUUCAUUCUGUGCCAUAACAAAA